UACGUAGGGGGCAAGCGUUGUCCGGAUUUACUGGGCGUAAAGAGCGUGUAGGCGGCCAAGCAGGUCCGUUGUGAAAACUGGAGGCUUAACCUCCAGACGUCGACGGAAACCGCGCGGCUAGAGUCCGGGAGAGGAGAGUGGAAUUCCUGGUGUAGCGGUGAAAUGCGCAGAUAUCAGGAAGAACACCAAUGGCGAAGGCAGCUCUCUGGGACGGUACUGACGCUGAGACGCGAAAGCGUGGGGAGCGAACAGG
rnacentral:rRNA from 1 species